UUGAUUUAGGAUUUAAGAUUUGGUUAAAGAUUGAUUUAGGGUUUAGGAUUUAGAUUACGAUUUGAUUUACGAUUUAGGAUUUGAUUAGGAUUUGAUUUAGGGUUUUAUUUAGGAUUGGGGUUUGGUUUAAGUUUUGUUUAGGUUUUGAUUUAGGAUUUAGGAUUUUAUUAGGAUUUAAGAUUCAAUUAGUUUUGGCCUAAAGUUUGAAUGAAAUUCAAUAGGAUUUUAACUAGAAUUAAAUUAAGAUUGAAUUGAGAUGUAUUUGAGUGAUAUUUGUAAUCCUUCUAAUAUUUCUUUAAGAAUUCUUAUUAUUUCUUUGAAAUUUCUUUGAGGUUUUUUUUAAUUUGAUUAAGCUUGCUUAGCAUUAUUAUGGUCUAAUUAGAG
rnacentral:lncRNA from 1 species